CCUACGGGAGGCAGCAGUAAGGAAUCUUCCGCAAUGGGCGAAAGCCUGACGGAGCAACGCCGCGUGGGCGAUGAAGGCCUUCGGGUCGUAAAGCCCUUUUCUGUGGGACGAUAAUGACGGUACCACAGGAAUAAGCCACGGCUAACUACGUGCCAGCAGCCGCGGUAAUACGUAGGGUGCAAGCGUUGUCCGGAUUCACUGGGUGUAAAGGGUGCGCAGGCGGGCUCUUAAGUCAAAGGUGAAAUCUCUCGGCUAAACCGAGAAAUUGCCUUUGAUACUGAGAGCCUUGAGUACGGGAGAGGGAGAUGGAAUUCCAGGUGUAGCGGUAAAAUGCGUAGAUAUCUGGAGGACCACCGGAGGCGAGGGCGGUCUCCUGGCCCGUUACUGACGCUCAGGCACGAAAGCGUGGGGAGCAAACAGGAUUAGAUCCCUUU
rnacentral:rRNA from 1 species